rnacentral:rRNA from 1 species
AUUGAACGCUGGCGGCAUGCCUUACACAUGCAAGUCGAACGGUAACAGGUUAAGCUGACGAGUGGCGAACGGGUGAGUAAUGUAUCGGAACGUGCCCAGUCGUGGGGGGAUAACGUAGCGAAAGCUACGCUAAUACCGCAUACGAUCUAUGGAUGAAAGCGGGGGAUCGCAAGACCUCGCGCGAUUGGAGCGGCCGAUAUCAGAUUAGGUAGUUGGUGGGGUAAAGGCCUACCAAGCCGACGAUCUGUAGCUGGUCUGAGAGGACGACCAGCCACACUGGGACUGAGACACGGCCCAGACUCCUACGGGAGGCAGCAGUGGGGAAUUUUGGACAAUGGGCGCAAGCCUGAUCCAGCAAUGCCGCGUGCAGGAUGAAGGCCUUCGGGUUGUAAAGCCCUUUUGGCGGGGACGAUGAUGACGGUACCCGCCGAACUAAGCUCCGGCUAACUUCGUGCCAGCAGCCGCGGUAAU